rnacentral:rRNA from 1 species
GACGAACGCUGGCGGCGUGCUUAACACAUGCAAGUCGAACGGAAAGGUCCUGCUUUUUUGGUUUCCUUGAGUGCCAAACGGGUAAGUAACAGGUGCGUAUCCUGACCUUUCCUUUGGGUUAACUUUAGCCAAUUGGGGGUCAUCCCGAAUAGGAGUUCCAUCUGUUUGGUGGGGGUAGGAACGUUUCGGGGGUUGGGGAUGGACUCGGGGCUUAUCUGCUGGUUGCUGGGGGAGUGGAUAACCACGGGCUUGAAGGGUAGCCGGCCUGAGAGGGUGACCGGGCACAGUGGGACUGAGAUACGGCCCAGACUCCUACGGGAGGCAGCAGUGGGGAAUAGUGCACAAUGGGCGGAAGCCUGAUGCAGCAACGCCGCGUGCGGGAUGACGGCCUUCGGGUUGUAGACCGCUUUCGCCUGUGACGAAGCGUGAGUGACGGUAAUGGGUAAAGAAGCACCGGCUAACUACGUG